rnacentral:rRNA from 1 species
AACGGCGAGUGAAGCGGCAACAGCUCAAAUUUGAAAUCUGGCGCAAGCCCGAGUUGUAAUUUGGAGAGGAUGCUUCUGGGCAGCGGCCGGUCUAAGUUUCUUGGAACAGAACGUCAUAGAGGGUGAGAAUCCCGUAUGCGACCGGCUGGCACCCUCCACGUAGCUCCUUCGACGAGUCGAGUUGUUUGGGAAUGCAGCUCUAAAUGGGAGGUAAAUUUCUUCUAAAGCUAAAUACCGGCCAGAGACCGAUAGCGCACAAGUAGAGUGAUCGAAAGAUGAAAAGCACUUUGGAAAGAGAGUUAAACAGCACGUGAAAUUGUUGAAAGGGAAGCGCUUGCCCCCAGACUUGUCGGCGGUGUUCCGCCGGUCUUCUGACCGGCCUACUCGCCGCCGACAGGCCAGCAUCGUCCGGGACCGCCGGAGAAAGGCGACGGGAAUGUGGCUCUUCGGAGUGUUAUAGCCCGACGCACAAUACGGCGCGCCCCGGGCGAGGUCCGCGCUUCGGUUAGGAUGCUGGCGUAAUGGCGGUAAGCGGCCCGUCUUGAAACACGGACCAAGGAGUCGACCAUCUGUGCGAGUGUUUGGGCGUCAAACCCCGGCGCGUAAUGAAAGUGAACGGAGGCGGGAACCUUACGGUGCACCAUCGACCGAUCCUGAUGUCCUCGGAUGGAUUUGAGUAAGAGCAUAGCUGGUCGGACCCGAAAGAUGGUGAACUAUGCCUGAAUAGGCCGAAGCCAGAGGAAACUCUGGUGGAGGGUCGCAGCGGUUCUGACGUGCAAAUCGAUCGUCAAA